CUCAAAUCUCUUAGCACAUUGCUUAGGAUUAAGGAUCCAAAAAUGCUAUCUAGAGAGUUGCUAGUGGUGUUGAACAAUGCAAGUUUUUAUUUAAAAGAGCUCUGCACUGCCAUUUAUGAAAGCCUCUUUAUGAUGUUUGUUUUGUUGUCAUUUUUGUUCUUUACACCAAGAAAUUGUAUGUACAAAUAUGCAGAGAACAUAUAUUGCCUCUGCUUUUAUCAGGGCGCUCACCCCUGGUACUUCGUAUAUAAAAUGUAUUAAAACUGGGAUUUGUUACCAGUUGCUGUAUUUUGUAUAUAGAAUUUUUAUAAAUUGUAUGAUUCUUAUUUUCAAGAGAAUUUAUGAACAUUGUAGAAAUGUAUAAAUGCAUUUCCAAACUGCCUUAAACAUUGUA
rnacentral:lncRNA from 1 species